UUUUUUUUUUUUUCAUGUAAAUAUUUAUUGAUUUUUGAGAAAAAAGAAAAAGUAAAAAGAAAAAAAAAAAAAACAACAUCAACACAAAACACAAAAACCAAGAAAAAGAAAAAAAAAUAUAUACAUUACUAAAAUUUUCGCCAAAAACUAUACAUUAUCAUCUCUUUCUGGACUUCCUUCAGCUUGUCCGUUAAUCUUUCAUAGUAAUAAUUAAAGUUACGCAUUUCUUUGCUUGUAUUGUCAUUGGACAUCUUUUCCCCUUCUAUUUACUUUAAACAAUAACUCUUAAACAUUCACAGUGCUUCUCUGAAUCCCAUUAGCGUUGUUUGUCCCUCACUAAUGUGUUCCAGAUAAUCCACAUAUUUUCCCCAAUCCUUAAUGAACUUUUGGUCUCUUAAAUGUCUGAUCUUCCCUGUUAAUCUAUCCAGUUCCGCGUAGUCUAAUAACUUUAAUCUCCACUCCUCUAUCAUUGGGAUUUCCUGCUUUUUCCACUUCUGAGCAAAUAUAACCCUUGCUGCGGUGGCAGCAUAGUAUACAAAUUUACAAUCUUUCUUUUUAUUUCAUUCCCUAAUAUCCCUAAUAGAAAGAUUUCAGGUUUUUUUGUGAACGUAUACUUCAAUACCUUCUUUAGUUCGACAUAUAUUUUUUCCCAAAAUUCUCUCACUUUCCCGCACUCCCACCAUAUAUGGUAAAAGGAGC